rnacentral:rRNA from 1 species
UACAGAGGUCUCAAGCGUUGUUCGGAUUCAUUGGGCGUAAAGGGUGCGUAGGCGGCGCGGUAAGUCGGGUGUGAAAUCUCCGAGCUUAACUCGGAACGGUCAGCUGAUACUGUUUUGCUAGAGUACAGAAGGGGCAAUCGGAAUUCUUGGUGUAGCGGUGAAAUGCGUAGAUAUCAAGAGGAACACCUGAGGUGAAGACGGGUUGCUGGGCUGAUACUGACGCUGAGGCGCGAAAGCUAGGGUAGCAAACGGG